GGCGGGCGGCGGGGCCGGCGGCGAGAGCAGCGAGGCCGCCACUGCCGCCAUGGAGGCGCUGGGACCCGGGCCCCCAACAAGCCUUUUCCAGCCGCCCCGUCGCCCAGGCCUGGGCACUGUUGGGAAACCCAUCCGGCUCCUGGCCAAUCACUUCCAGGUUCAGAUCCCUAAGAUUGAUGUUUAUCACUAUGAUGUAGAUAUCAAACCAGAGAAACGCCCCCGAAGAGUCAACAGGGAGGUGGUGGAUACGAUGGUGAGGCACUUCAAGAUGCAGAUAUUUGGGGAUCGGCAGCCUGGGUAUGAUGGGAAGCGGAACAUGUACACUGCACACCCCUUACCCAUUGGCAGGGACAGAGUGGAUAUGGAGGUUACACUUCCAGGAGAGGGGAAGGACCAGACAUUUAAGGUUUCCAUUCAGUGGGUGUCAGUCGUCAGCCUUCAGAUGCUGCUCGAAGCUCUGGCAGGGCACUUGAAUGAAGUUCCUGAAGAUUCUGUACAGGCACUGGACGUAAUCACACGGCACCUUCCCUCCAUGAGGUACACCCCUGUGGGUCGCUCCUUUUUCUCCCCUCCUGAAGGUUAUUAUCACCCCCUGGGAGGGGGCAGGGAGGUCUGGUUUGGCUUCCACCAGUCGGUCCGUCCUGCCAUGUGGAACAUGAUGCUCAAUAUUGAUGUGUCAGCGACUGCUUUCUAUCGUGCCCAGCCUAUCAUUGAGUUCAUGUGUGAGGUCUUGGACAUCCAGAACAUCAGUGAACAAAGCAAACCUCUGACAGACUCCCAGCGCGUCAAGUUUACCAAAGAAAUCAGAGGUCUAAAAGUAGAGGUUACCCACUGUGGCCAGAUGAAGAGAAAAUACCGAGUUUGCAAUGUUACCCGGCGACCAGCCAGUCACCAGACGUUCCCUCUGCAGCUGGAGAACGGGCAGGCCAUGGAGUGCACAGUAGCUCAGUAUUUUAAGCAGAAGUACAGUCUACAGCUGAAAUACCCUCAUCUGCCCUGUCUGCAAGUGGGACAGGAGCAGAAGCACACGUACCUGCCACUGGAGGUGUGUAACAUCGUGGCAGGCCAGCGGUGUAUCAAGAAGCUCACAGACAAUCAGACCUCAACCAUGAUAAAAGCAACAGCCAGGUCUGCCCCAGACAGGCAGGAGGAGAUCAGCAGACUGGUGAAAAGUAACAGUAUGGUUGGUGGGCCUGAUCCAUAUCUGAAGGAGUUUGGAAUUGUUGUCCAUAAUGAAAUGACAGAGCUGACAGGCAGAGUUCUGCCAGCCCCAAUGCUGCAGUAUGGAGGCAGGAACAAGACUGUGGCCACACCAAACCAAGGUGUGUGGGACAUGAGAGGGAAACAGUUCUAUGCUGGCAUUGAGAUUAAAGUUUGGGCUGUUGCCUGUUUUGCUCCUCAGAAACAAUGCAGGGAAGACUUGCUGAAGAGUUUCACAGACCAGCUGCGCAAGAUCUCCAAGGAUGCUGGGAUGCCAAUCCAGGGCCAGCCCUGCUUCUGCAAGUAUGCCCAGGGUGCAGACAGCGUGGAGCCCAUGUUCAAACACUUAAAGCUGACUUAUGUUGGCCUGCAGCUGAUCGUGGUGAUUCUGCCUGGGAAGACGCCUGUGUACGCUGAAGUCAAGCGGGUUGGAGAUACUCUUCUAGGCAUGGCCACGCAGUGUGUUCAGGUAAAGAAUGUGGUCAAAACCUCACCACAAACGCUGUCCAACCUGUGUCUGAAGAUCAAUGCUAAGCUCGGAGGAAUCAACAAUGUGCUGGUACCUCAUCAAAGAAAUUCCCACAGUCUGGAGUGGACAGUGGAGGAUAUGUCUGCAUUUGGAGUGUUCCCAGUAAACCCUGAGCCAAGGGGAGUCAGAGCCAUCCAGCAGUCAGAGCCACCAAACUCACCAAGGCCCUCAGUAUUCCAGCAGCCAGUGAUCUUUUUGGGAGCAGAUGUCACUCACCCUCCAGCCGGGGAUGGGAAGAAGCCAUCCAUCGCGGCUGUGGUAGGCAGCAUGGAUGGGCAUCCCAGCCGCUACUGUGCCACGGUGCGCGUGCAGACCUCGCGCCAGGAGACCUCCCAGGAGCUACUCUACAGCCAGGAGGUGAUCCAGGACCUGACCAACAUGGUGCGGGAGCUGUUGAUCCAGUUCUACAAAUCCACUCGUUUCAAGCCCACGAGGAUCAUUUACUACAGAGGGGGAGUGUCGGAAGGACAGAUGAAACAGGUAGCUUGGCCAGAGUUGAUUGCCAUCCGGAAGGCCUGCAUUAGUUUGGAAGAAGAUUAUAGACCUGGAAUAACCUACAUUGUUGUGCAGAAAAGGCAUCACACCAGGCUGUUCUGUGCUGACAAAACUGAAAGGGUGGGUAAAAGUGGCAACGUACCAGCAGGCACUACUGUGGACAGCACCAUCACACAUCCCUCUGAAUUUGACUUUUACCUCUGUAGCCAUGCAGGAAUUCAGGGAACCAGCCGGCCCUCCCACUACCAGGUGUUGUGGGAUGACAACUGUUUCACAGCAGAUGAGUUGCAGCUACUGACGUACCAGCUGUGCCACACAUACGUGCGCUGCACCCGCUCCGUCUCCAUCCCCGCGCCUGCCUACUAUGCCAGGCUGGUGGCUUUUCGGGCCAGGUACCAUCUUGUGGAUAAGGAUCAUGACAGCGCUGAGGGCAGCCACGUGUCGGGGCAGAGCAACGGCCGCGAUCCGCAGGCGCUGGCCAAGGCUGUGCAGAUCCACCAUGACACCCAGCACACCAUGUAUUUUGCUUGAGAGCACCUGGGAAGAUGAGGCAAAGCAACAACCCAUGCAGUCCUGAAGUGUUUGGAAGCCUCCUGCUCUAUCCAGGGCCAGGGGAUUUCGGACUGCCCACUACCAGCAGCUCCGGACAGUCGCACUGAAUCUGUUCUUCACUGCAACGUCUGAUGCACCAACACAAUUGAGCCAUUUGUUUCAUUGUUUUCUGUACUAGAAAUCCAUAGACUUGUCUUUUCUGAUGCAUUGGACUGAAUUUUUACCUCAAAGCGCAAAGGCUGAUCAUCCUGAAAUUUUUCAAGGACUUCGCACGAAAGGUUUCUAUCAAAUCUUUUGCUAGCUGUGGUUUUUCAGUUCUCCUCAUCCCAUGAGCUGACGGUGACUGCUGCUCUGUCUCCGUGCCCUGCUUUUACUCGUUCAGGGAGAAGAUACAGAAACCCUUUUUAGAGUGAACUCUGACUGACCCAACACACACGGAGAACUUUGGCACCUUGAAAAGCACCUGAGCACCUGUUGGAGGUGGUAGGAUCCAAGAUCCCUAAUUUGAGUUUGUGCACUAGGAAUGGGGCUGGUUUAACAGGGGUGCAUAAGAAAUGAACUUUAUCACCAAUUAGUUGUCCAGUGCCAAGCAUUCCUGGUUGAGACUGAGGGAAGGAAGAGCCUCUCCUUGGUUUGCCUGUGACUGGAUAUUUGACCGGGUGGACCACUGGCCCCUGGUGAGCCCUGGGCCAGCACCCGAGCAGGGCUGGUGUGAGCCCACUCCGGGCACAGGGCUGGAGUUUUGGUGGGAAAGCACUGAAGUUCAGGAUCCAAGUUGCAGCAGUGCUGCCCUAGGCAGGUCUGAGCCCAAGUCUGGAGGACUUGAGGACCUGGGUGAGCCCUGUGGGCCUGAGUGACUCGUUCUGCAUGUGUCAAUCAAUGGGAAGAUGUGCAUUCUGUAGCUGUAGUUUUAGGGUGUUUUUUGUUUUUUGGGUUUUUUUUUUAUAAACAAAGCCUGUUGGCCACUGUUUAGCUCUGUGGUGUGAAAGAUUUUAAAUGUAGCGAAGUUCAAAGAGUUCGGGAAGGGGGUGGUUGAUAUAUCUAAAAAUAUAUAUAUAUAAAAAAAGGGGGGGGGAGGGGGCAGAAAUCCUGUUUUCCACCCGAUUCUGCUUGCUUUGUCCCUGCUGAGUUCUGAACAAGCUCUGGCAAUCCCUAGUUAGCCUGUCUCCACCAGUCUGGCUGUUGUUGUCUGUCAGUUACCCAGGCUUGUGCCUGGAGCUACAUCCAAAGGGUGCAGAGGUCAGUGCACGGGAUGUCCGGUGUCCACCCUCGCUCAGCCCUUUGGAUGGGGAAGGGCCCUGGUUCAGAGCUGGUGUCUGACAGCACCGACCCCCAACCCCUUUGUGGAUGUGCUGUAGGAGUUUUCUGGCUCAAUAGCGAGGGAGUGACUCUGCUUUCAUUUUCAGAAGGCAGGGCCAGAGGGCAUUGAUCCAUCCCCAUCCUGAUCCACUGCGAGGCUCUUUCCCUGUGCACUGGAGGAAAGAUCUUGCACUAAAUAUCACUUAGAGAUUUUCUUAGACCUUGCUAUUGACAUUUUCAUAUUUCUAUGUCUAGAGGCUGCAACUUCAAUGUAAAAUGUUUGCAUUUGUUCAGUUUGACUUCUGAUGUAAUUUUUUUGUUUCUAUAUUGUUAGACUUGUAAUGUUUCAAAUGGUAUUUUAUUAACUUUGGACUGGAUGUAUGUCUCUAGCAAUACGAGGUACUUUCUAAACUGUCCUGGGGCUCACAGCCCCAUGUUGAGGUAAGAUGCUGGUCGUGUACAAUUGCAAUGUAUUUUUUUUUUAGCCUGCAGGGGUAUUUUGUGUUCAUGUGUCCAAAAAUAAUAAUAAAAAAAAAUUGGCAUUCUCGUGCCAAAUGUUCUGUUUUUCCUUAUUGGUGUCCAAUAAAUGCAAUGUACAGAAUGAGCAACCAACACUGUUGCCUGUAAACAAAUGUCUUAAACUAUUUAACUUUUAAUUAAAACUUGUACACAAUC